rnacentral:rRNA from 1 species
CACAUAUCAAUAAGCGGAGGAAAAGAAACCAACAGGGAUUGCCUCAGUAACGGCGAAGUGAAGCGGCAAUAGCUCAAAUUUGAAAGCUGGCGUCUUCGACGUCCGCGUUGUAAUUUGUAGAGGAUGUUUCGGCGAGGGCUCCUGCCUAAGUUCCCUGGAAUGGGACGUCACAGAGGGUGAGAAUCCCGUAUGUGGCGGGCGGCCUUAGCCAUGUGAAACUCCUUCGACGAGUCGAGUUGUUUGGGAAUGCAGCUCUAAAUGGGAGGUAAAUUUCUUCUAAAGCUAAAUACCGGCCAGAGACCGAUAGCGCACAAGUAGAGUGAUCGAAAGAUGAAAAGCACUUUGGAAAGAGAGUUAAAAAGUACGUGAAAUUGUUGAAAGGGAAGCGCUUGCAACCAGACUCGUUCGCAGUUGCUCAGCCCGCCUCUUGGUGGGUGUACUCUUCUGCGGUCGGGCCAGCAUCAGUUCGGGCGGUCGGAUAAAGGUGUCGGGAAUGUAGCACCCUUCGGGGUGUGUUAUAGCCCGGCGCGGAAUGCGGCCAGCCUGGACUGAGGAUCUCGCUUCGGCAAGGAUGCUGGCGUAAUGGUUGUAAGCGGCCCGUCUUGAAACACGGACCAAGGAGUCUAACAUCUAUGCGAGUGUUUGGGUGUCAAACCCAUGCGCGUAAUGAAAGUGAACGGAGGUGGGAACCCGCAAGGGUGCACCAUCGACCGAUCCUGAUGUCUUCGGAUGGAUUUGAGUAAGAGCAUAGCUGUUGGGACCCGAAAGAUGGUGAACUAUGCCUGAAUAGGGUGAAGCCAGAGGAAACUCUGGUGGAGGCUCGCAGCGGUUUCUGACGUGCAAAUCGAUCGUCAAAUUUGGGUAUAGGGGGCGAAAGACUAAUCGAACCAUCUAGUAGCUGGUUCCUGCGG